rnacentral:rRNA from 1 species
AACUUUCAACACGGAUCUCUUGGCUCUCGCAUCGAUGAAGAACGCAGCGAAAUGCGAUAAGUAAUGUGAAUUGCAGAAUUCAGUGAAUCAUCGAAUCUUUGAACGCACCUUGCGCUCCUUGGUAUUCCGAGGAGCAUGCCUGUUUGAGUGUCA